GACGGUCACCAUUUUCGGGGGCUUACAAAAUGUUUGACAAGUGGAGCUACGAAUGUCGAGUCUAGACUCUAGAGUCUCGAGUCUCGUUGCAAGUCCCAAAUACAUUGACCCGGCAAUAAUAAGUAACGUGAGCUUAAAUGAACAUUUAGGAAUUCGGCUUUAACUGGCUUAUGAUUCAUGCGGUGAAUCGACCUGGAGACCAGUGGAUGCGAGCCAAUUUAAAGACCAAAAACCAGAAACAAAAACCAACUGAUAGCAUCUCGGCAAAACGAAAUGCCAUAAAAAAGAUCAGGGCAACUCCUCGUUCCUCGUUUUUGCAAAAAUUAAGAAAUUCAUAUAAUAAGUUCUGCGCGCAUUUUGCUGAAAGAUUUUAUGUGAUUCGACUUGGUUUCCAUUCGGAUUCAUACGUGUGGCAAAGAGCUGCAGGCCGAGAUUCCAGAUAUCCCGAUGCAGAUCGCGAUUGGAAUGGCGGAGGAACUCGUUGAGCCCGGUGAGUUGUGGCCAUAAAGCGUAGUUUUGUUUUUUUUUUUUUUGGCCACCAAAUCCGACCGGAUGGAAUAUACAAAUAUAUGUCGCCCACACUGCGACUCUGACUGGGACUGAGUCGGAGAAGUGCAUGGGUGCUAAUGUGACACUAAACUGAUGUAAUAAAAAAUCCGCUUAUUGGGCCAACAAAGCCUCCAAAGCAGGCCAAAAUUAAAAACUAAAUACCUGCGAGACCCCGGCGACAACAAUAUGAAAUUUCAUACUGACUGACAGGUCGGCCCACGAACACAAAGACCCGAAAAAAAAUACAAAGAGAGUGAAC